GUACACAAACACUGGCCAUCACGCUGUGCGGGCUGAGUCCUUAGCAUCAACACUAUGUGCCCGGGAGAAGCAAUGGCAGAAGGAGCCUAAAGGCAGACAGUUCUCUCUCUGCUUGGCUUUGGAAUCAGGCCAAACCCUCACACUCACUGUCUCUGGACUGGCACCAUAGGUUACAGUGAGGCAUGAGACAUCUUACAAGUCAUCUAGCAAGAAAGGAAGAUGAGAAAAAUUGACCUGAAUAUAUGAGAGUAAAGUGAUUCUGGUCCUGAAGAAUAGUGUCUGAAGAAUAGUGUCUGAAUAAGAUGGACCUUUGCACUCUCUAGAAGUCUCCUCGCAACUGCUCCAUCUGCCAGUUGGGCCUCUCCCCCAUACUGUGAUGCUGGGGCUGCCCCUGAGUGAACCUGACACGGGCUGGUCGGAGAGACAUGAUGCAAACGUUAUGCAAUGGGAACCCGAAGUCAGGCUUCCAAGCCGAUGAAGAAUGACCUGGGAUGAACUUGGCUACGAGGAGCUGUAAAGAAGUUGUGCUGCUAAAUUCACUGUAGCCUCCCUACUACACUCUUCUUGUGUUACUUUCUUGCAUUCACAGGGGGUUAAAAGUCAUCAACAAAGAAAGAACUUCUACUAUAUGUCAUAGAAUAAAUAUUGCGAUAUCU